GCGACGCCAUCACCGCACCGCCAUAUUGAAUUUUCCGCCGAAAAGUUUGCCGCUAUUUUUUUUAAGUAUUUUUGUUAAGUCUUUACAAUACAAAACAAACAUCUAUUACUUAUAAAUUAUUAUGUUUGUGUUUGCAAUAUGCAAUUGUUAAAUCGAUAAGGUGCUUGUGUGCAUGUUUACGAUUUAUUUUAGGAAGUUACCUACGUAAAAUCUAAGGAAAUAUUUUUAUCAGUUGGGCAUCUGGUUAUUAACUAUCUGGUUACUUAUGUUUGUGUUCUAGUGUUUUCGUUUCUAUUAUUUAAAGUUUUGUGUAAAUAGUGACAACAACAAAGAAAAUGAAAAAUCAA